ensembl:lncRNA
CUAUGGAGGAAGCAGCAGAGACUCUGCUCUCCUCGUUUGGAUUAAUUCUGAUAUAGUAACUGUUGGUUUAUUUAUCGGUGCAGCAGCAGAACAUUUUCCACAGACAGUUUUCCUGCCCGUUGGCUUGUUUUAACCAGUUUUCUACCUUCGGCUGAUUCUACCAGCAGACACUGAAAGGACUCUGAUAGUUCAAGUGAAAGUAGCAGUUCCUCCUGAAGGUCAGAGAUUGCAGCAUCUGAGGGCCUCUUCAAAAGAAGACGUAGUUGAUGAAGGCGUUCUGGAGCAGGACCAGAAAAACCACGACCAAGCAGCCUUGAGAUCUUAGACAGCGUCUCCCUCAGGUCCCUCUCUAUCUCCCCACACAUCCACCAACCACUGGAACACAUCUCCAAAGUUCUGCUGGACCAGCUCAGCUUCCCCUCAGAAGAAGUGCUGCCACCUGCCAGAUGAAGGAGCCUUUUGAGAGGCAGCUGGCAUCGUGAUUGGACUGUACUUUGGUCUGUUCCAAUCCAGCUUCAGCUUCCAGAGACGGCAGGUGGGACGAGUCAACGGAGGCCUGGUGGACGAAGACAUGCAGCUGAGUACAAUCCAGAAAACAACAGAGGAGGAGGAAACAAACGUAGUAGUAUAGUAGAAAAUAUACAUCGUAGAUUGUACAAAUAACAAGUCAAAGGAAAGAGACAUACACUGUAGAAUUGUAGUAAUUGUGGG